AAGAGGAAUGUGAAGGCCGAUUAGGGUGCGGAAGCCAGGAGUACAUGCGGAGUGCGUGAAGAUAGAUUUUACUUUUAUACCCUUCUUGUAAUUUAUCCUUAUAAAUAGAGGAACCAUCGUCAUUUGUAACACACCAUCUCUAUCUGAAAAAUCAAUACAAGUUAAAUUCUGGCUUUUCUGCUUUGUGAUACUCAGGUCUUAGCUCCAUUCUUCUUCUUAUUCAUAUUUUUUCCUUGAUGUGUUGAGAGUUUACUCAUCAGU
rnacentral:lncRNA from 1 species